UACGGAGGGAGCUAGCGUUGUUCGGAAAUACUGGGCGUAGAGCGCACGUAGGCGGCGCAGCAAGUCAGGGGUGAAAUCCCGGGGCUCAACCCCGGAACUGCCCUUGAAACUGCAGUGCUAGAAUUCUGGAGAGGCGAGUGGAAUUCCGAGUGUAGAGGUGAAAUUCGUAGAUAUUCGGAAGAACACCAGUGGCGAAGGCGACUCGCUGGACAGACAUUGACGCUGAGGUGCGAAAGCGUGGGGAGCAAACAGG
rnacentral:rRNA from 1 species